GGGUCAGUAGGUUGGUCGUGCCACCGGUACGUACUGGUCUCACUGAUUCCUCCUUCCUGAAGAACCGUAAUGCCAUUAAUUUGGUGUUGCGGGGAAACAGGACUGUUACUUUGAAAAAAUUAGAGUGUUUAAAGCAAGCUAACGCUUGAAUACAUUAGCAUGGAAUAAUGAAAUAGGACGAUCGAUUCUAUUUUGUUGGCUUCUAGGAUUGACGUA
rnacentral:rRNA from 1 species